AGGAUGAACGCUAGCGGCAGGCCUAAUACAUGCAAGGCGAGGGGGCAGCAAUGUCACCGUCGUACGGGUGCGUAACGCGUAUGCAACCUACCUUCGACUGGGGGACAGCCCGGGGAAACCCGGAUUAAUACCGCAUAACACAUCGGACCGGCAUCGGUUCUUUUGUUAAAGAUUUAUUGGUCGAAGAUGGGCAUGCGUCCGAUUAGCUAGCUGGCGGGGUAACGGCCCACCAGGGCAACGAUCGGUAGGGGGCCGGGAGGUCGAUCCCCCACACGGGCACUGAGACACGGGCCCGACUCCUACGGGAGGCAGCAGUGGGGAAUAUUGCGCAAUGGGCGAAAGCCUGACGCAGCGACGCCGCGUGGGGGAUGAAUGCCUUCGGGUUGUAAACCCCUUUCAGCAGGACGAGCGAAAGUGACGGUACUGCAGAAGAAGCGCGGCUAACUACGCGCCAGCAGCCGC
rnacentral:rRNA from 1 species